UGAUGGAGGAAAUGAUCAUUCUUGUUGUCGUUGAAAACCACUGAUCUACAACAACACUGAAGGAAAAAGAUACUCGGUCCAUGCAUUUCAGUUGAUUUAAUGAGUCGAAAACAAAUGCUUGGACGGAAUAUCUUUUUUCUUCUGUUUUUUUUUUUUUUUAACAGCGAUUUUGAGAAAUACUGGUACACAGUAAACAUGUAGAGUUAAUUCAACACUUACAGAGUAAUCUGGGACCAAAUUAAAUGUAGAUGUUAAUUUAACUCUAUGAGUGUUGAAUUAACCAUGUAUUUUUCAGUGUGUAUCUCGCUACCCUACUUGUGUGUUCCUCAGGUUCAUCUACUACCCCUGUGUGCUGGGUUGGCGCUGCCUGCACUCGGGCCGCCACAGCUGGGAUGUGGACGUGGGGGACAGCGCCACCUGGAGCGUGGGAGUCACCUCUGCGUCUAACAGCCAGAGACAGGGAGACACUUUCUUCGACAACAACACCUGGUUCAUCAGCUACCAGGACGGGGAGUACAAAUGCCACUCACCUGAGGGGCCAGGCGAUGAGCUCGUGACUACCAGGCUGCGGGUUAUUCGGGUGCGGCUGGACUGCGAUGGAGGGGAGGUGUCGUUUUCCACACCGUUGAGUGAUCGGCCCCUGUGCCGUUUCAGACACGCUUUUACGCAGGGCGUCUUCCCAUUUCUGUAUAAUUACUGCAGGGCUUCACCUCUGAAGAUCUUACCUGUCAGAGCUAAACACACAGAAAAAUGGGGGCCCAUCUUUAACUUUCAAAACAAGUGAUGUUUGAUUUUGUAAAACAUAUGAACAUAUGAGAUUUGGCCUGGACUGUGUACAUUUCUUACAGGAAACCCCUUGUUGAUUUAAAAAUGGGCAACUUGUGGAUUCCCGGCUCUUCAAUUGAUACUUUUUUUUAAAAGUAUUUUUUUGGGGCUUUUCAGCCUUUAUUGGAUUUUUGUGAUAGGAUAGUGGAGGAGAGACAGGAAGCGAGCUGGAAGAGAGGGAUGGGGAAGGACCGUCAAAGGACCCGGACCGGGAAUCAAACCCGGGUCGGCCGAGUGGUAAACGUGUGCCCUACCACAUCAGCCACGGUAGGGCCUUCAAUUGAUACUUGACACUGGAUUUCUUCCCUGGACUAUGCACAGUGACCUUGGCACCUGGACACUUCGGACACUUUUCCAGCUUUUCAAUCUCUACUUUCCUCUACAAAAGCAAGCACUCUCGAACUGGAUUGAAAUUGUGUUCUUAUUUUGUUCAAUAUGUGGCCUCAACGUUUGGAAUAAAAAAAUAAAUUGUGAUUUUA